rnacentral:rRNA from 1 species
UACGUAGGGGGCAAGCGUUGUCCGGAAUCAUUGGGCGUAAAGCGCGUGUAGGCGGCCCGGUAAGUCCGCUGUGAAAGUCGGGGGCUCAACCCUCGGAUGCCGGUGGAUACUGUCGGGCUCGAGUACGGAAGAGGCGAGUGGAAUUCCUGGUGUAGCGGUGAAAUGCGCAGAUAUCAGGAAGAACACCCGUGGCGAAGGCGGCUCUCUGGGCCGAUACUGACGCUGAGGAGCGAAAGCGUGGGGAGCGAACAGG